rnacentral:rRNA from 1 species
UGGGGAAUUUUGGACAAUGGGCGAAANCCUGAUCCAGCAAUGCCGCGUGUGUGAAGAAGGCCUUCGGGUUGUAAAGCACUUUUGUCCGGAAAGAAAUCCUUGGCUCUAAUACAGUCGGGGGAUGACGGUACCGGAAGAAUAAGCACCGGCUAACUACGUGCCAGCAGCCGCGGUAAUACGUAGGGUGCAAGCGUUAAUCGGAAUUACUGGGCGUAAAGCGUGCGCAGGCGGUUUNCUAGACCGAUGUGAAAUCCCCGGGCUCAACCUGGGAACUGCAUGGUGACUGGCAGGCUAGAGUAUGGCAGAGGGGGGUAGAAUUCCACGUGUAGCAGUGAAAUGCGUAGAGAUGUGGAGGAAUACCGAUGGCGAAGGCAGCCCCCUGGGCCAAUACUGACGCUCAUGCACGAAAGCGUGGGGAGCAAACAGGAUUAGAUACCCGUGGUAGUCCACGCCCUAAANGAUGUCAACUAGUUGUUGGGGAUUCAUUCCUUAGUAACGUAGCUAACGCGUGAAGUUGACCGCC